AGACUACAAGAUUUCCUGGAGGAACAGACAAGCUAGGCAGGAACCAUGAAUACCAGCAUCCCCAGUAUCCAGUAUAAUGUUUGGUCUUUUACCCAACCAAUCUCUUGUGCAUCUACUUCCAUGUGGUGCUUGCUUCUCAGAGGUUAUAAACCAAUGUACA